GGCUGCAAAUAAAUAUUUGACUUGACAGGACAUUUGUCCGAUCACUUUAAAUUUUGGUCGGACAUAACUUGAAUUUGGUCGGACAAAAACCAACAUCACUAAAUUUGAUCGGACACAUAUACGUCACAAGAUAUAUAUAUAAGUCACGAGACAAGUAUGUAUAUGCCAUUCCGGCGCAACGUUAAGUAAAAUUAAAUGCUAGAACGCCGCGUAAAUUUUAUUGCAAAAUGCAAAUUGAGUGAAUUGGCAAUCGGAUUUUGUCACAGCAAAAAAAUGUAUAAUGUGACAUUUUAUGGCGAUCGGACCAAUGUCCGAUCAAAAUUACUUUUGCUCGGACAUUUGCCAAAUUUAGUCGGACAUUGUCCGAUGUCCGACAGUAAUUUGCAGCCCUG